UGGGGAAUCUUGCGCAAUGGGCGAAAGCCUGACGCAGCAACGCCGCGUGUGUGAUGAAGGCCUUCGGGUUGUAAAGCACUGUCAGGAGGGAAGAAAUGCCAAUGGUUAAUACCCAGUGGCUAUGACGGUACCUCUGAAGGAAGCACCGGCUAACUCCGUGCCAGCAGCCGCGGCAAUACGGAGGGUGCGAGCGUUGUUCGGAAUCAUUGGGCGUAAAGCGCGUGUAGGCGGGGACGCAAGUCAGGUGUGAAAGCCCGGGGCUCAACCUCGGAAUGGCGCCUGAAACUGCGUCUCUUGAGUACGGGAGGGGGAAGCGGAAUUCUUGGUGUAGGGGUGAAAUCCGUAGAUAUCAGGAGGAACACCGAUGGCGAAGGCAGCUUCCUGGACCGAUACUGACGCUGAGACGCGAAAGCGUGGGGAGCAAACAGGAUUAGAUACCCUGGUAGUCCACGCUGUAAACGAUGUUCACUAGGUGCUGCGGGUAUUGACCCCUGCGGUGCCGUAGCUAACGCAUUAAGUGAACCGCCUGGGGAGUACGGCCGCAAGGUUA
rnacentral:rRNA from 1 species